rnacentral:misc_RNA from 1 species
UUGAUAAUGUGAAUGAUUAGCUUUUGCUAUUCAUUUCAUUACCAUUAAUCAUGUGCACCGUUUCUGCCAUAUUGGCGAUCGAAAGGUCGUCGUAUGGACCCCAUUAUAAUUUACCCUUAUUAACUUUAUAUACCAGUAUUUUAUACUAAUCUUGA